GGUAAAUGCCUUUCAUUUUCAGCUUGGAGAUCAAGACCAUAAUAAUGCUUUAGAACCACAGACAACUCCUCCGAGGAAAGGCUUGUCAAAUGACCUGAGAAUGAACUGACAGGACGUUCUGAAUCUAUAUUCUUAAAUGGAACAGGCACAUGGUCUGUCAUCAUUUCAUUAGAAUUUCCACAGUCCAUUUCAACAAUUCUGUUUGGAGAAAAACACUCAGCAUCAACUGUACCCUUCUCUGCUGCUGAUGUGCUUGGAUUUGUUACUUCACACAAUGAGACAGUAGCCAUUUGGUGGCCUUCAUUAUCUUUCUCCAGAGGCUGGUCUUUCUCCACUUCAAUUUCCGCUUGGGAAUGACCCACUGCAUUUUCAUUGUUCACUGCCAUCAUUCUAUUUUCAAGUUUUGCAUCCUCUAAGCCAUUAUCACAUUGCUCUUGCUCAGUCAAAAUUGCCUUGGAUUCUGGAGUAGUAGCAUUAUCUGAAGAUCCUUUCAGAUUAAACUGAGCAUUAUUUGAACAAGACUGUAAAGGUUGACCAAGUGAGACAGACAAAGAUGUACGGGAGCUUGACCUUGC
rnacentral:misc_RNA from 1 species